rnacentral:rRNA from 1 species
UACGUAGGGUGCAAGCGUUGUCCGGAAUUAUUGGGCGUAAAGAGCUCGUAGGCGGUUCGUCGCGUCGGCUGUGAAAUCCCGAGGCUCAACCUCGGGUCUGCAGUCGAUACGGGCGGACUGGAGUACUGCAGGGGAGACUGGAAUUCCUGGUGUAGCGGUGAAAUGCGCAGAUAUCAGGAGGAACACCUAUUGCGAAGGCAGCUCGCUGGGACGUUACUGACGCUGAGACGCGAAAGCGUGGGGAGCGAACAGG